GAAAUCCAAGGCUAGUCAGAAACUAGAACAGCCCAGCCCUGGGGGAAGUGUGAUUGGAUGAUCAGAUAGACACUCCCUGGGGAAUUUGGACAGAGGUUGAAGGGAAGUAGCAUUGCCUUGAGUAAUUGUUGGAUAAAUGACCAAUGACUGUCUUAUUGGCCCAUGUAAUGGGAAAUAGACUACAGGCCACGUCCUCAGCUGGUGGAUAUCCGUGUAGCUCCACUGAUUUCAAUGGAAAUACAUUGCUUCAUGCCAGCUGCCCGACAUCUCUGAGACAAAGCCCUUGUAAAUAACAGGGAUUAGAACCUGAUCCGUAAAGGCACUGUGGGUCCUUGCCUCACAAUGGGAGCCCGGGGGUUGAUCAGACUCUAUCCAUGUUGGCUGCUACCAUAAUUGAGCAUGGGUGCUGGUAGCAGGAUUGCAGCACAACUUCCCUUGACCAAGGAUUGCUGCUUAUAAAUAACCAUGUUAAAUCAUGCUUCAGGCUAUCCAUCGCCCGGGGGGGACUACAGUCAGAAGGAACCAUCUAUUCUUUCUCUUCUGUCCCUCAGCUUAAUUCUAAUCCAUGGUGGUGCUUUGCCUAUGAUUCCAUCAUCACUACUUAGUUUUCUUAAUAGCUUUGUGUGAGAGCUUUUGCCAAAGGCUUUUUGAGGCCCAUUGAUAAAUUGUAGGAUUGUGACAUCAGAGCUAUGUCAUCUAACAGUCUGGCUUCAUUGCCCUGAUCUAUUGACAUGAAAGUCAGUGGUGCAGAGUACAAUGGCUGGCUGGCUGGGCCUGAUUUAAGUUAACUGCCUCAGGUACAUCAGGAACUUGGAAAGAGCCAAUGACCAACUGACUGAGGAAAUAAAGGGAAUGUAUCUCCAGAUUUCUGCAUGUCAGGAUUACAAAUCUUUUCAAGAAGGAGAGAGAUCAGGUAUGGGAAAUGUAACGUCUGAAAUCCAGAAGUGCUUGAAACAACUUCAUAACAAGCUGGAGAUUGCAGAGCAGCAGCAGAAAGAGGAAAAAUGCCAGGCAUCCAAGUUAAGGCAUGUGCUGGAAGGAUUUAAGCAAAUCUGGGAGGUUCAGAAAAAUGCCAUAAUCCAGCUGAAAGGAUAACUGGAAAAUUCAGUGCAGGAGACCGGAAAAUGAAGAUAGAGCCCAGGUUCGUUCGUUGUUGCAUAAAAUUGUGGAAGCAAAGCUGGUGCAGAUUCACUGGACAAGAGAGACUAUCUCAAUUGCCUUUCAAAAGGUGUCUAGUUUGUAUUCCCCUUGGUCCUAUGCUUUGAAUGUAUGACCACAUCAGUCAUGCUAUAUAUCUUUAUAUUCAGCAAAGAUUUUAAGUCUGUCAGUCAUCAACUGCUGUUUUCUGACCAAAAUCUUGAGUUUGCUGAGAAACCUGUCUCCAUAUGCUAUCUGGAAAUAGGAUGGCCUGUGGCCAUUUUAAAGUCAGCUGUGCAGCCUCUCUUCCAUCUCUUCAUAUCAGCUAAAUUAACCCUCCUUCAAAUGCCUGGAUUGUUUGUUUCUUCUUGAUGUAUCAGCUCAAUCGUUUUUUAAAAAACGCUUCUUUAAAAUAAAAUCCAAAUAAUUUGUC